rnacentral:rRNA from 1 species
CCUACGGGUGGCUGCAGUGGGGAAUAUUGCACAAUGGGCGAAAGCCUGAUGCAGCAACGCCGCGUGAAGGAAGACGGUUUUCGGAUUGUAAACUUCUAUCAAUAGGGAAGAAAGAAAUGACGGUACCUAAAUAAGAAGCCCCGGCUAACUACGUGCCAGCAGCCGCGGUAAUACGUAGGGGGCAAGCGUUAUCCGGAAUUACUGGGUGUAAAGGGAGAGUAGGCGGCAAGGUAAGCGAUAUGUGAAAGCCUUAAGCUUAACUUAAGGAUUGCAUAACGAACUAUCUAGCUAGAGUACAGGAGAGGAAAGCGGAAUUCCUAGUGUAGCGGUGAAAUGCGUAGAUAUUAGGAGGAACACCAGUGGCGAAGGCGGCCUGCUGGGCUUUUACUGACGCUGAGGCUCGAAAGUGUGGGGAGCAAACAGGAUUAGAUACCCCAGUAGUC